UACGUAGGUGGCAAGCGUUGUCCGGAUUUACUGGGCGUAAAGGAUGCGUAGGCGGAUAUGUAAGUCAGAUGUGAAAUUCCCGGGCUUAACUUGGGAACUGCAUUUGAAACUGCAUGUCUAGAGUGCAGGAGAGGAAAGUGGAAUUCCUAGUGUAGCGGUGAAAUGCGUAGAGAUUAGGAAGAACACCAGUGGCGAAGGCGACUUUCUGGACUGUAACUGACGCUGAGGUAUGAAAGCGUGGGGAGCAAACAGG
rnacentral:rRNA from 1 species